rnacentral:rRNA from 1 species
GAGUUUGAUCGUGGCUCAGAUUGAACGCUGGCGGCAGGCCUAACACAUGCAAGUCGAGCGGAUGAAGGGAGCUUGCUCCUGGAUUCAGCGGCGGACGGGUGAGUAAUGCCUAGGAAUCUGCCUGGUAGUGGGGAUAACGUCCGGAAACGGGCGCUAAUACCGCAUACGUCCUGAGGGAGAAAGUGGGGAGUCUUCGGACCUCACGCUAUCAGACGAGCCUAGGUCGGAUUAGCUAGUUGGUGGGGUAAAGGCCUACCAAGGCGACGAUCCGUAUCUGGUCUGAGAGGAUGAUCAGUCACACUGGAACUGAGACACGGUCCAGACUCCUACGGGAGGCAGCAGUGGGGAAUAUUGGACAAUGGGCGAAAGCCUGAUCCAGCCAUGCCGCGUGUGUGAAGAAGGUCUUCGGAUUGUAAAGCACUUUAAGUUGGGAGGAAGGGCAGUAAGUUAAUACCUUGCUGUUUUGACGUUACCAACAGAAUAAGCACCGGCUAACUUCGUGCCAGCCGCCGCUGU